AUCUGUGAGGAGAUACUAUUUCAUGUCAUUACAGUGAUUUUCAUUUUUACCACAUGUUUAAGGAUAGUAAAAGAAAGUAUAUUGUUACAUGUGCAUUACAUUUACACAUACUAGAGAAUGAAUGCAUGAGAUUGUCCCUACUUACACCCUGGUUUUACAUCAUCGGACAUCAACACAGCAUAUAGAACAGUGACUGCUAAACUUGGAAUCCCAGGAACCGCAAAAACUUAAAGGAACACUGGCAUCAAACAUGUUUAAUAUCUUAAUAUAAUAUUUAUGUUGUUUAUGUCAUCUAAUUAAUGCUUCUCAAUCCAUAAAUAUUGAAAUUUCUGAACAAAUCACUUGCCUGCCUUUCCACUCCCCUUUCUGAUUUUUUCUUCUUUUAAUGCACCUUGGUUCAGACUGUCAGUUAUCCUUUAUUCUUGUCAGUUACACCCGCCCAGCAAUCCAGAGCUCAAUUUUGGGAGGGGUACUGACAUAUUAUAUUGUUAUG